CCUACGGGAGGCUGCAGUCGAGAAUUUUUCUCAAUGGGCGCAAGCCUGAAGGAGCGACGCCGCGUGGGGGAUGAAGGGUUUCGAUCCGUAAACCCCUGUCAUUCGUGAACAAUGGUUACCAUUAAAUAUUUGGUGACUUGAUAGUAACGGAAGAGGAAGGGACGGCUAACUCUGUGCCAGCAGCCGCGGUAAUACAGAGGUCCCGAGCGUUGUUCGGAUUCACUGGGCGUAAAGGGUGCGUAGGUGGCAUGAUAAGUUUGAUGUGAAAGCUCAGG
rnacentral:rRNA from 1 species